UGGAUGUAGAUCCACAGAUUUUACUCUUUCUGAUCUUUGAGCAAGUUUCCUCUUUAUCUCAAGUCUGAGAGGCAUUUUUGCGGAUCGAUAUGGCUAGAGAUCCAGGUACUCAAAGCUCUGAUGAUAAAGAGAAACAGAUCGAGGGAAGGAAGAUUAGAGGGAAGGGUCUUUGAUUUAUGUAUUAGCAAGACCCCUGUUAAUAUGUGAGGGAAGG
rnacentral:misc_RNA from 1 species